rnacentral:rRNA from 1 species
UCAGAAACUCAAAGGAUUGACGGGGCCGCACAAGCGGAGGACAUGUGGUUUAAUUCGAUGAUACGCGAGGAACCUUUACCCGGGCUUGAAAUGCAUCUGACCGGCCUUGAAAGAGGCACUCCCUUCGGGGCAGAUGUGUAGGUGCUGCAUGGUUGUCGUCAGCUCGUGCCGUGAGGUGUCGGCUUAAGUGCCAUAACGAGCGCAACCCUCAUCAUUAGUUACCAUCAGGUAAGGCUGGGGACUCUAAUGAGACUGCCAUCGUAAGAUGUGAGGAAGGUGGGGAUGACGUCAAAUCAGCACGGCCCUUACGUCCGGGGCGACACACGUGUUACAAUGGGUGGUACAAAGGGCAGCUACCUGGCGACAGGAUGCUAAUCUCGAAAACCGCUCUCAGUUCGGAUCGGAGUCUGCAACUCGACUCCGUGAAGCUGGAUUCGCUAGUAAUCGCGCAUCAGCCACGGCGCGGUGAAUACGUUCCCGGGCCUU